UACGAAGGGUGCAAGCGUUAAUCGGAAUUACUGGGCGUAAAGGGUGCGUAGACGGCUUUUUAAGUCGACUGUGAAAGUCCUGGGCUCAACCUGGGGACGGCAGUUGAUACUGGGGAGCUUUGAGUUUGGGAGAGGGUGGUGGAAUUCCCGGUGUAGCGGUGAAAUGCGUAGAGAUCGGGAGGAACAUCCGUGGCGAAGGCGGCCACCUGGCCUGGAACUGACGUUGAGGCACGAAAGCGUGGGGAGCAAACAGG
rnacentral:rRNA from 1 species